GCGGAGGGGCGGAUGGCUGCGGCAGUGAUGUCGAGGAAAGUCCGGACUCCCAGAAGCAGCGGUGCCGGGUAACGCCCGGGCGGGGCAACCCGACGGAGAGCGCCACAGAAAACAAACCGCCUCGCAAGGGGUAAGGGUGAAACGGUGGGGUAAGAGCCCACCGCCGGGCUGGCAACAGACCGGGCAUGGCAAGCCCCACCGGGAGCAAUGCCAAAUAGGGAUCGCGUGGACCGGCAACGGUCCGGGGCCGCUUCUGCCCCAGCAGGUCCGGGUUGGCAGCUAGAGCGGCACUGGCAACAGUGUCGCGAGAUGAAUGGUCAUCUCGGGGCGGGCAACCGCCCUAGACAGAAUCCGGCUUACAGCCCCUCCGCGCGU
rfam:Tateyamaria sp. ANG-S1 contig_3, whole genome shotgun sequence.